rnacentral:rRNA from 1 species
GAUGAACGCUGGCGGCGUGCCUAAUACAUGCAAGUCGAGCGAAUGGAUUAAGAGCUUGCUCUUAUGAAGUUAGCGGCGGACGGGUGAGUAACACGUGGGUAACCUGCCCAUAAGACUGGGAUAACUCCGGGAAACCGGGGCUAAUACCGGAUAACAUUUUGAACCGCAUGGUUCGAAAUUGAAAGGCGGCUUCGGCUGUCACUUAUGGAUGGACCCGCGUCGCAUUAGCUAGUUGGUGAGGUAACGGCUCACCAAGGCAACGAUGCGUAGCCGACCUGAGAGGGGGAUCGGCCACACUGGGACUGAGACACGGCCCAGACUCCUACGGGAGGCAGCAGUAGGGAAUCUUCCGCAAUGGACGAAAGUCUGACGGAGCAACGCCGCGUGAGUGAUGAAGGCUUUCGGGUCGUAAAACUCUGUUGUUAGGGAAGAACAAGUGCUAGUUGAAUAAGCUGGCACCUUGACGGUACCUAACCAGAAAGCCACGGCUAACUACGUGCCAGCAGCCGCCGUAAA